rnacentral:rRNA from 1 species
UUGGCGGACGGGUGGAGUAACGCGUGGGCAACCUGCCCCGUGCCCGGGGGAGUACCGGCCUGGAAACAAGGCGCUAAUACCGCAUAAGCGCAUACAGCCGCAUGGCAGUAUGCGGAAAGCUCCGGCGGCACGGGAUGGGCCCGCGCCCGAUUAGCCAGUUGGCGGGGUAACGGCCCACCAAAGCGACGAUCGGUAGCCGGCCUGAGAGGGCGGACGGCCACAUUGGGACUGAGACACGGCCCAAACUCCUACGGAAGGCAGCAG